rnacentral:rRNA from 1 species
UGCCAGCCGCCGCGGUAAUACGGAGGGUGCAAGCGUUAAUCGGAAUUACUGGGCGUAAAGCGCGCGUAGGCGGUUAUUUAAGUCGGAUGUGAAAGCCCCGGGCUCAACCUGGGAAUUGCCUUCGAUACUGGAUGACUUGAGUACGAGAGAGGGAGGUAGAGUUCCACGUGUAGCGGUGAAAUGCGUAGAUAUGUGGAGGAAUACCAGUGGCGAAGGCGCUGGGCUGGACGGGUACUGACGCUGAGAUGUGAAAGCGUGGGGAGCAAACAGGAUUAGAUA